rnacentral:lncRNA from 1 species
GUGGUCCAAAUGUGUCAAAACGACACCGUUCUAUGAUAUGCUCCAUGCGGUUAGGCUUCAGGCUAGCAGCGAUGGUUCAGCGGAGGUGCCAAGGUGGUGCGGCGGCGGUGCCGAACGGUUCCCAAUUUUUUUUCCGACAUAACUAGGUUUGAAAAACCCUAAAUUGCUUCUAAUUUAUUUAUAUGCUUUAACUCACAAAUUCCACAUAGCAAUAUAAUUGCGUAAUGCAUGAAACAUAUAUAGACAUAUAUAUAUUGACAAAUAUAUAUAAACAUAAGGGUGUUCAUGCAUCAUGGGAUAUUUUCAUGCUUCAUGGUCAUUUCAAAUAUCUUACUUUAUUUUAAGUGUACUGAUUGUCAGAAAACAAAUAAAAGCAUUUGAAUUUUGUAGAAGAAAGCCUCCUCCUACGAUCAUUCAGUUCCUUAGCUUAUGGGAAGAGCGUGCUGAUAAUGUGUUGUAGUCCUAUUUAACUGAACUAUUAUAAGGGAAUAGAGAGGGAAUGACUACGGUAAUAAGAGAGAGUAUAUAGAGAUUUAAUUGUGAGGUGUGUGUUGUAUCACCCCAUUGUGCCCUUAUUUAUAGUAGUAGGAUAUGUUAAAUCCUUACCCUUUUAUGAUUACAACUUUAAUAUGAUAUUAAUUACUAAAGGGAAUAUUCAAAGAUAUCCCUAGAUAUACUAAGAUUUACACAAUCAUGUUUCUAUUCUAAAUAUGACUGCAACAGUCAAAUGCUUGUUUUUUUUUAACAAACAAUAUUAUCUACACUAAGGGAAAAUGGGUGGGUUUAGCCUCACAAUGAACUAGUAAUAAUGUGAUUCAAUCCGUUGUUUAUUAUUUUCUUGAUUCUUAAUGUAAAUUCAAUAGAAUGUAGAUAGAAAUUGAAAGAUUGAUUUUAUUAUGUGA